GGCUGUGUCUCAAUUCAGGGUCUGCAUCCUACCUCGGCCGGAUUCGUCGGCCGGUUACGUCACAGCGCCGCGACUCGGCCUGUCCCAAUUCGAAGACUCCUUCAAAUGCGGUCGACGAAUGCGGCCUUCUUUUCGCCUGAAUGAAGGAUGGGUCGGGUGUAUCCUUCAACAGGUAGCAUUUCCCAAGAUGCCUUGCGGCCGGCCGGCAGAAAAACUUAAAAACAAUGGCGGACAGUGAAGCGGGAGCUGUCGGAGAGGAUUGCGCAUAUAAAUGACCAAAAGAGAAAACCAGGGAAUUUAUUAAGCUUAGGGCGGAGAUGGACCACAUGAUCACCGGAGCAAAGUAUUCGGCGGCUGUGGCAUGGAGACUAUUCUGGAGAAAAUGGGCAUCCAGGGGAAGGUGCCAGCGAUGAGCUUCUGGAGCUGAUCUGGGAGGACAUGAGGCUGCAGAGCAGCAGAGAGCACAGGAGAGAAGGAAGAACUUUGACAGCUUUUUACUUUGCUAGAAAAAAUGGUUAAUGAAGAUUAAACAUGUACAUAUAAAAGAAAUAUCUAAAUAAAAUCAGUUCUGCAUUAAACUCUUGAAUUUUAUUUUUGUUUACAAAUGAGAAUUGUUUACUAGAGGGUAUCCGCUGGGUCUUGAAAAGUCUUAAAAGGUGAUAAAUCGGUUUUGGU